GGGGAUGUAGGUCAGUGGUAGAGCACUUGCCUAGCAUGCAUGAGGCCCUGGGUUCCAUCCCCAGCACCACAA
rnacentral:tRNA from 1 species